rnacentral:rRNA from 1 species
GAUGAACGCUGGCGGCGUGCCUAAUACAUGCAAGUCGAGCGAACAGACGAGGAGCUUGCUCCUCUGACGUUAGCGGCGGACGGGUGAGUAACACGUGGAUAACCUACCUAUAAGACUGGGAUAACUUCGGGAAACCGGAGCUAAUACCGGAUAAUAUAUUGAACCGCAUGGUUCAAUAGUGAAAGACGGUUUUGCUGUCACUUAUAGAUGGAUCCGCGCCGCAUUAGCUAGUUGGUAAGGUAACGGCUUACCAAGGCAACGAUGCGUAGCCGACCUGAGAGGGUGAUCGGCCCCACUGGAACGGAGACCCGGUCCAGACGCCUACGGGAGGCAGCAGUAGGGAAUCUUCCGCAAUGGGCGAAAGCCUGACGGAGCAACGCCGCGUGAGUGAUGAAGGUCUUCGGAUCGUAAAACUCUGUUAUUAGGGAAGAACAAAUGUGUAAGUAACUAUGCACGUCUUGACGGUACCUAAUCAGAAAGCCACGGCUAACUACGUG